rnacentral:ncRNA from 1 species
UCAAAGACGUUGAACAAGAGGAGUAUUACUGGCAUCGUUUUAGAGAGAAAAUCAUUUGGUGGAAGAUUUUCACAUAACCAGUAAGAAGGUAGCUUGGGAGUCAAUGAUUUGAAAUUUAGUAAAAUGAUUCGAGUCGUGAUCGUUAUCUCACCAAUGAAGUGGUGUUUGCAUAGACAGACACAAUUUAGGUGGUACCACGUAUAAAAGAGAUUAUACGCCCUAAAA